rnacentral:rRNA from 1 species
CAGCAGCCACGGGAAUACGGAGGGGGCUAGCGUUGUUCGGAAUUACUGGGCGUAAAGCGCACGUAGGCGGCUUUGUAAGUUAGAGGUGAAAGCCCGGAGCUCAACUCCGGAAUUGCCUUUAAGACUGCAGAGCUAGCAGGUGAGAGAGGUGAGUGGAAUUCCGAGUGUAGAGGUGAAAUUCGUAGAUAUUCGGAAGAACACCAGUGGCGAAGGCGGCUCACUGGCUCAUACUGGACGCUGAGGUGCGAAAGCGUGGGGAGCAAACAGGAUUAGAUACCCCGGUAGUCCCUGUCUCUUAUAA